AAGAGGAUAAAGUUCCUAAUGAAGAAUCUGGUGAAGAAUCUCCAGAGCUAAUCCCCCCUCCUCCUCAGAAGAAGAAAAUCACGAAGGUCUCUUCCCAAAGAUCCAUUGUUAAAUCAACUAGGAAGGAUUCUGCAAGUACUCCCACUGCUAACCUUCAGUCGAAGGAUACGGAGAGCGGGAAAUCUAGCUUUAACAUUGAGAUUCCUGAGGUAAGUCUUUAUUUCGACUGUAUAUAUUCACCUUCUUUGCAUCUUUUUCUUCUAAAUCUUAGAAUUAUUUUCAGGAACAAGUGGCUGUCAAAAGAACUCCUGAGAAACUUCUGGAAGAAACAAUCCAAG
rnacentral:lncRNA from 1 species